CCUACGGGGGGCAGCAGUGAGGAAUAUUGGUCAAUGGGCGAGAGCCUGAACCAGCCAAGUCGCGUGAAGGAUGACGGCCCUACGGGUUGUAAACUUCUUUUGUCAGGGAGCAAUUGAGUCCACGUGUGGGCUUAGCGAGAGUACCUGAAGAAAAAGCAUCGGCUAACUCCGUGCCAGCAGCCGCGGUAAUACGGAGGAUGCGAGCGUUAUCCGGAUUUAUUGGGUUUAAAGGGUGCGUAGGCGGAAUAUCAAGUCAGCGGUAAAAAUUCGGGGCUCAACCCCGUCGUGCCGUUGAAACUGACUUUCUUGAGUUGUCGAGAGGUAUGCGGAAUGCGCAGUGUAGCGGUGAAAUGCUUAGAUAUUGCGCAGAACUCCGAUUGCGAAGGCAGCAUACCGGCGGCGAUCUGACGCUGAGGCACGAAAGCGUGGGUAUCGAACAGGAUUAGAUACCCUUGUAGUC
rnacentral:rRNA from 1 species